AAUAUUUGCACGAUUUAUCCCGCCAGGAUCGAAUUCCGCCACUUCAACGCCGAGACACGUACACACAGCGCUGCUAGGUUCGAGCAAAUCGGUGUCACAUCUGGCACGCUCGAGAAGGCGUAAAUGAAUAGAUUUUAAACUGAACCAAAGAGAGAGAGAGAGUGAUAGGGAAUGAGAGAGCGAAGAG
rnacentral:lncRNA from 1 species